UACGGCCAUAUCCCAUUGAGACAACAGUUUCCAUAUAGUCACCAAAGUUAAGUAACAUCGAGCCUGGUCAGUACCUAGAUGGGAGAACACUUGGGAAUACCAGGUGCUGUAAG